UUUUUUAUUUUUUAUUUUACCCACAGACGAACGCUGGCGGCGUGCCUAAUACAUGCAAGUCGUACGCUUCUUUUUCCACCGGAGCUUGCUCCACCGGAAAAAAGAGGAGUGGCGAACGGGUGAGUAACACGUGGGUAACCUGCCCAUCAGAAGGGGAUAACACUUGGAAACAGGUGCUAAUACCGUAUAACAAUCGAAACCGCAUGGUUUUGAUUUGAAAGGCGCUUUCGGGUGUCGCUGAUGGAUGGACCCGCGGUGCAUUAGCUAGUUGGUGAGGUAACGGCUCACCAAGGCCACGAUGCAUAGCCGACCUGAGAGGGUGAUCGGCCACAUUGGGACUGAGACACGGCCCAAACUCCUACGGGAGGCAGCAGUAGGGAAUCUUCGGCAAUGGACGAAAGUCUGACCGAGCAACGCCGCGUGAGUGAAGAAGGUUUUCGGAUCGUAAAACUCUGUUGUUAGAGAAGAAUAAGGAUGAGAGUAACUGUUCAUCCCUUGACGGUAUCUAACCAGAAAGCCACGGCUAACUACGUGCCAGCAGCCGCGGUAAUACGUAGGUGGCAAGCGUUGUCCGGAUUUAUUGGGCGUAAAGCGAGCGCAGGCGGUUUCUUAAGUCUGAUGUGAAAGCCCCCGGCUCAACCGGGGAGGGUCAUUGGAAACUGGGAGACUUGAGUGCAGAAGAGGAGAGUGGAAUUCCAUGUGUAGCGGUGAAAUGCGUAGAUAUAUGGAGGAACACCAGUGGCGAAGGCGGCUCUCUGGUCUGUAACUGACGCUGAGGCUCGAAAGCGUGGGGAGCAAACAGGAUUAGAUACCCUGGUAGUCCACGCCGUAAACGAUGAGUGCUAAGUGUUGGAGGGUUUCCGCCCUUCAGUGCUGCAGCUAACGCAUUAAGCACUCCGUCCUGGG
rnacentral:rRNA from 1 species